rnacentral:sRNA from 1 species
CUGGGGAAAAUAAAAAGAAGCUCACCUUUGUUACGGUGAGCUUCUUUUUCUAUUAAUAUACUUUAUAACUUUCACCAGUUUGUGCAC